AUUGCUUCGGCAACGCAUAGUAAAGUUGGAACGAUACAGAAGAUUAGCAUGGCCCCUGGCACAAGGAUGACACGCAGAUUCGUGAAGCAUUUCCUCUCUCA